rnacentral:rRNA from 1 species
UACGUAGGUGGCAAGCGUUGUCCGGAAUUAUUGGGCGUAAAGCGCGCGCAGGCGGGCUUAUAAGUCGAUUGUGAAAUCCCAGGGCUUAACCUUGGAAUUGCAGUCGAAACUGUAAGUCUUGAGUGCCUAAGAGGAUGGCGGAAUUCCCGGUGUAGUAGUGAAAUACGUAGAUAUCGGGAGGAAUACCAGUGGCGAAGGCGGCUGCCUGGCCUGUUCUUGACGCUGAGGCGCGAAAGCUGGGGGAGCAAACGGG